GGUGCUGUGGCUCAAGUGGUAGAGCACUUGAUUUGAGCUCAAGAGCUAAAGGACAGUGCCC
rnacentral:tRNA from 1 species